rnacentral:rRNA from 1 species
CCUACGGGUGGCAGCAGUGAGGAAUAUUGGUCAAUGGCCGGAAGGCUGAACCAGCCAUGCCGCGUGAAGGUCAGUGCCCUAUGGGCGUUAAACUUCUUUUGUGCGGGAGCAAUAAUGGUCACGUGUGGCCAGACGAGAGUACCGUACGAAUAAGCAUCGGCUAACUCCGUGCCAGCAGGCGCGGUAAUAAGGGGGAUGCAAGCGUUAUCCGGAUUUAUUGGGUUUAAAGGGUGCGUAGGCUGGGAGGUAAGUCAGCGGUGAAAUGCUCGCGCUCAACGGGGUGAAGUGCCAUUGAUACUGCCUUGCUGGAAUGCGGAUGCGGUGGGAGGAAUGUGUGGUGUAGCGGUGAAAUGCAUAGAUAUCACACAGAACACCGAUUGCGAAGGCAGCUCACGAAUCCGCGAUUGACGCUGAUGCACGAAAGCGUGGGUAUCAAACAGGAUUAGAUACCCCAGUAGUC